CCCAGAUGGGAUUAGCUUGUUGGUGAGGUAAUGGCUCACCAAGGCGACGAUCCCUAGCUGGUCUGAGAGGAUGACCAGCCACACUGGAACUGAGACACGGUCCAGACUCCUACGGGAGGCAGCAGUGGGGAAUAUUGCACAAUGGGCGCAAGCCUGAUGCAGCCAUGCCGCGUGUAUGAAGAAGGCCUUCGGGUUGUAAAGUACUUUCAGCGGGGAGGAAGGUGUUGCGGUUAAUAACCGCAGCAAUUGACGUUACCCGCAGAAGAAGCACCGGCUAACUCCGUGCCAGCAGCCGCGGUAAUACGGAGGGUGCAAGCGUUAAUCGGAAUUACUGGGCGUAAAGCGCACGCAGGCGGUCUGUCAAGUCGGAUGUGAAAUCCCCGGGCUCAACCUGGGAACUGCAUUCGAAACUGGCAGGCUUGAGUCUUGUAGAGGGGGGUAGAAUUCCAGGUGUAGCGGUGAAAUGCGUAGAGAUCUGGAGGAAUACCGGUGGCGAAGGCGGCCCCCUGGACAAAGACUGACGCUCAGGUGCGAAAGCGUGGGGAGCAAACAGGAUUAGAUACCCUGGUAGUCCACGCCGUAAACGAUGUCUACUUGGAGGUUGUGCCCUUGAGGCGUGGCUUCCGGAGCUAACGCGUUAAGUAGACCGCCUGGGGAGUACGGCCGCAAGGUUAAAACUCAAAUGAAUUGACGGGGGCCCGCACAAGCGGUGGAGCAUGUGGUUUAAUUCGAUGCAACGCGAAGAACCUUACCUGGUCUUGACAUCCACAGAACUUUCCAGAGAUGGAUUGGUGCCUUCGGGAACUGUGAGACAGGUGCUGCAUGGCUGUCGUCAGCUCGUGUUGUGAAAUGUUGGGUUAAGUCCCGCAACGAGCGCAACCCUUAUCCUUUGUUGCCAGCGGUCCGGCCGGGAACUCAAAGGAGACUGCCAGUGAUAAACUGGAGGAAGGUGGGGAUGACGUCAAGUCAUCAUGGCCCUUACGACCAGGGCUACACACGUGCUACAAUGGCGCAUACAAAGAGAAGCGACCUCGCGAGAGCAAGCGGACCUCAUAAAGUGCGUCGUAGUCCGGAUUGGAGUCUGCAACUCGACUCCAUGAAGUCGGAAUCGCUAGUAAUCGUGGAUCAGAAUGCCACGGUGAAUACGUUCCCGGGCCUUGUACACACCGCCCGUCACACCAUGGGAGUGGGUUGCAAAAGAAGUAGGUAGCUUAACCUUCGGGAGGGCGCUUACCACUUUGUGAUUCAUGACUGGGGUGAAGUCGUAACAAGGUAACCGUAGGGGAACCUGCGGUUGGAUCACCUCCUUACCUGAAAGAA
rnacentral:rRNA from 1 species